rnacentral:tRNA from 1 species
GGUCCCAUCGUCUAACGGCUAGGACGUCAGGUUUUCAUCCUGGAAAUCGGGGUUCGAUUCCCCGUGGGAUCA